rnacentral:rRNA from 1 species
UACGAAGGGGGCUAGCGUUGCUCGGAAUCACUGGGCGUAAAGCGCACGUAGGCGGAUCUUUAAGUCAGGGGUAAAAUCCUGGAGCUCAACUCCAGAACUGCCUUUGAUACUGGGGAUCUCGAGUCCGGAAGAGGUAAGUGGAACUCCGAGUGUAGAGGUGAAAUUCGUAGAUAUUCACAAGAACACCAGUGGCGAAGGCGGCUCACUGGCCCGGUACUGACGCUGAGGUGCGAAAGCGUGGGGAGCAAACAGGG